rnacentral:rRNA from 1 species
GCCGUACCUAGCCCGAACCAACCACAACAAAACCACCAUCACCGGAUUAAUCAAAACAUUUACCCUUAAAAAGUAUAGGAGAUAGAAAGUCCAAUCGGCGCAAUAGAGAAAGUACCGCAAGGGAAUGCUGAAAGAAACCACCAAAGCAACAAACAGCAAAGCUUACCCCUUGUACCUUUCGCAUAAUGAUUUAACUAGACUGACUUAGCAAAGAGAUACUUAAGUUAAUGACCCCGAAACCAGACGAGCUAUUUACAAGCAGCCUAACAGGGCAAACUCAUCUAUGUGGCAAAAUAGUGAGAAGACUUAUAAAUAGAGGUGACACGCCUACCGAGCCUGGUGAUAGCUGGUUGUCCAGUAAAAGAACCUUAGUUCAAACUUAAGCCUACCCAAAACACCCACAAUUAUUCCGUAGACUUAAGAACUAGUCUAAAAAGGGACAGCUUUUUAGACACAGGCUACAACCUUUACUAGAGAGUAAAAAAACCCAAACCCGUCCCAUAGUGGGCCAAAGAGCAGCCACCAAUAAAGAAAGCGUUCAAGCUCAACAACCUACCAAGAACUAAUAAUUCAACUCCUAGAGUAAACCUGGACCAUUCUAUAGCAGCAUAGAAGAGACAAUGUUAAUAUGAGUAACAAGAAAUAUUUUCUCCCCGCACAAGUGUAUAUCACGAACGAAUGCCCACUGAUAGUUAACGCACAUGAACCUGGCACAAACAGCAAGCCUUUCAUCCACCUAACCGUUAACCCAACACAGGAGUGCCUCAGGGAAAGAUUAAAAGGAGCAAAAGGAACUCGGCAAGCACAAACCCCGCCUGUUUACCAAAAACAUCACCUCUAGCAUCCAAAGUAUUAGAGGCACUGCCUGCCCAGUGACAUAUACGUUCAACGGCCGCGGUAUCCUAACCGUGCAAAGGUAGCACAAUCACUUGUUCCCUAAAUAGGGACUUGUAUGAAUGGCCACACGAGGGUUUCACUGUCUCUUUCUCCCAAUCCGUGAAAUUGACCUCCCCGUGAAGAGGCGGGGAUGCCACGACAAGACGAGAAGACCCUAUGGAGCUUCAAUUAACCAGCCUAAGAACACGCCCCUCUCCUCCCAAGGGACUCAAAACAACACCCAACUAGGCUGGCAAUUUAGGUUGGGGCGACCUCGGAGUAUAAAAAACCCUCCAAGCAGCUACAAGCUCAGACUUACCAGUCAAAGCCACAUGAACCACCACGAUCCAAGGCCUUUGAUCAACGAAACAAGUUACCCUAGGGAUAACAGCGCAAUCCUAUUCAAGAGUCCAUAUCGACAAUUAGGGUUUACGACCUCGAUGUUGGAUCAGGACAUCCCGAUGGUGCAGCAGCUAUCAACGGUUCGUUUGUUCAACGAUUAAAGUCCUACGUGAUCUGAGUUCAGACCGGAGCAAUCCAGGUCGGUUUCUAUCUAUCCUAACGCCUCUCCCAGUACGAAAGGACAAGAGAAGCGGGGCCCCCCUGAAACAAGCGCCCUCUACACAAACAACGGAUGACAAAACUCUCAACCCGACAUGUAGUAAACAAACCCGCCCUAAACCAGGGCCCA